GCGACGGCUGAGAUGCUGGAGUGAAAGAAACCCCACAGAGACGCUGUAAACGAUCCGGGGGGGGCCAUCAGGAUUAGGGGGAGUAGGCUGGGGCGAUGCCUCCCGAAACCCCGAAGCUGGUGAGCCCAACCUGACUCGAUUCUUGCACGCGAUCCCACAUUCUUGUUUAAUCUACCUUCGUUGCUUUGGCAGGCCACAGUUGACUGUGUAGGCUCCGGCUUACCGUGCCUGCCAGAGGACCCCAACCCUGCAGUUAGUGAUGUCUGAGUACUAUUUAAUAGUUAAAACUUUCAACAACGGAUCUCUUGGUUCUGGCAUCGAUGAAGAACGCAGCGAAAUGCGAUAAGUAAUGCGAAUUGCAGAAUUCAGUGAGUCAUCGAAUCUUUGAACGCACAUUGCGCCCCUUGGUAUUCCGAGGGGCAUGCCUGUUCGAGCGUCAUUACAACCCUCAAGCCUAGCUUGGCCUUGGGAAUCGCGGUCCCCGCGGCCCCUAAAAUCAGUGGCGGUGCCUGUAGGCUCUACGCGUAGUAAUUUUUCUCGCGAUGGAUCCCUAUACGUGCUCGCCAACAACCCCCAAUUCUUUCAGGUUGACCUCGGAUCAGGUAGGGAUACCCGCUGAACUUAAGCAUAUCAUAA
rnacentral:rRNA from 1 species